rnacentral:rRNA from 1 species
UACGUAGGGGGCGAGCGUUGUCCGGAUUUAUUGGGCGUAAAGAGCGUGUAGGCGGCUAUACAGGUCAGCUGUGAAAACUCGAGGCUCAACCUCGAGACGUCGGUUGAAACCGUAUGGCUAGAGUCCGGAAGAGGAGAGUGGAAUUCCCGGUGUAGAGGUGAAAUUCGUAGAUAUCGGGAGGAACACCAGUGGCGAAGGCGGCUCUCUGGGCAGAUACUGACACUGAGACGCGAAAGUGUGGGGAGCGAACAGG